CCUACGGGUGGCAGCAGUGAGGAAUAUUGGUCAAUGGACGAGAGUCUGAACCAGCAAAGUCGCGUGAAGGAUGACUGCCCUCUGGGUUGUAAAUUUCUUUUAUAUGGGAAUAAAAUGUUCGAUGUGUGGGAUUUUGUAUGUACCAUACGAAUAAGGAUCGGCUAACUCCGUGCCAGCAGCCGCGGUAAUAUGGAGGAUCCGAGCGUUAUCCGGAUUUAUUGGGUUUAAAGGGAGUGUAGGUGGAUUGAUAAGUCAGUUGUGAAAGUUUGCGGCUUAACCGUAGAAUUGCAGUUGAAACUGGCAGUCUUGAGUACAGUAGAGGUGGAUGGAAUUCGUGGUGUAGCGGUGAAAUGCGUAGAUAUCACGAGGAACUCCGGUGGCGAAGGCAGUUCACUGGACUGCAACUGACGCUGAGGCGCGAAAGUGUGGGGAGCAAACAGGAUUAGAUACCCGGGUAGUC
rnacentral:rRNA from 1 species